rnacentral:rRNA from 1 species
UUUUCCUACGGGGCGCAGCAGUGGGGAAUAUUGCACAAUGGGGGAAACCCUGAUGCAGCGACGCCGCGUGAGUGAAGAAGUAUUUCGGUAUGUAAAGCUCUAUCAGCAGGGAAGAAAAUGACGGUACCUGACUAAGAAGCCACGGCUAACUACGUGCCAGCAGCCGCGGUAAUACGUAGGUGGCAAGCGUUAUCCGGAUUUACUGGGUGUAAAGGGCGUGUAGGCGGGACUGCAAGUCAGAUGUGAAAAUUAUGGGCUCAACCCAUAACCUGCAUUUGAAACUGUAGUUCUUGAGUGAUGGAGAG